rnacentral:lncRNA from 1 species
UAUGCUUCAUCUUUUUAAUAUCUCUCGUGAGAAUGAUGGAAAGGAAAAUUGUGCUCAAGUGCUAGGAGAAGAAAUCUAUAAAAUGUUUGGCACUAGAUCUUUGAAUGAUGAGCAUGAUUGCAAUGUUGUUAGUAUGAACACUUUGAAUAUCCAUAGUACUAAUGAUGAUUGCACUAGUCAUGAUGAAAAUGUCUCUUAUAAGCAUGUCGGAUUUUGUGGAGUGCAUAGAAUUUACAAGUACACACCAAAUAGGGAAGAUAGAUUUUGCAAAAGGCAUAAGUAUUUAGAAACUAAAUGGUUGCAAGAGAGGCUAAAUGUUAGUGCUGAAAAUUUAAAAUAUCUUAGCCAUACUUGUUAACUUUGCAAUGAACAUGGUCAUUUAAAUAUCAAAUGCAAAUUGUUUCAUGAUCGAAUCGUGUCCAAAAAUUGUAAUGACUUGAUUUCCCUUGCACAUCAUAAUGAACUUAGUCUGCUUUUGGGUUAUGAAGAAUUGAAACAUCAAACUAAGUUUAUUCCAGAAUAUAACCUCGAGAAAUUCCUCGAUAUUGAUCUAGAAGAAAUUUAUAUGUAUUGUGCGGUGAAUUGCAUUGAAAAUCCUUAUAUUGCCAAUUACAUAAAGAAAAGAAAACAAAUAGAGGAUGAAUAGAAUACUAAUGAAAGGGAAGAGACUUCCUAAUAUCCUCCUAUUAUUUCUUAUGAUGAAUCAGGUAACGAGGAGGAGCUUUCUAUUCAACCAAUCUCAUUAAUAAGGAGCUCCAAAAAGAGGAUUGAACCCACACAUGAUGUGAAGAAGAAAAAGAAAAGACGAAGAAACAAAGGUAAAAAGGUAUCCCUCCCAAAUGAUGUUGCUCCUAUUACUCAUUGUGAUGAUGAUAAUUGCUAUACUAUUGGUGCUAUCCAUACUAUUAAUGAUGAGAGUGACUGUGCUUAUGAUAUGAAAAGUCCCAAGCUUUGGGAUGCUACGUUUAAUGAAGAUGAUAUUUUUAGUCUCCCAAGUUUUGAUAUGCAAAUUUAUAAUGAUGAUAGCAUGCCUCCUACUUAUGAUGAUUAUAUUUAUGAAAGUGGAUUUGGUGAGGUCAUGACUUUAUUUAGUGAUGAAUCCACUGUUUCGGAAGAGGUUUCAAUUGAUUAUGAUGAGAACAAAGUUGCUACUUAUGAUGAUUAUUGUGAUGAAACUUAUGCUAUAAAAAGUAGUGAUGAUUAUAUUUAUGAAACUUGUCAUGAUUAUGAUUACCCUUUCUGAAUAUUACUCUUUUAAUGUGGAAACAAUUUAUAGUAUUCAAGUCUCUUAUGAUACUCCCACUAUUCCGAACGAGAAGAAUUUUGCUUAUGUGGAGAGUAGUAAAUUUUCUAUGCAAGUAGAUCAUGAAAAGAAUGCUUUAGGUGCUGGUUAUAUUGUUUAAUUCAUUCGUGCUGCUACUGAAAAUUAUUAUGAGGGAGGAAUAUAUGCUUGUAGGAAUUGCAAUAAUAUCAAGUUUCCUCUCUAUGUGCUUAAAGUUUUGAAGUUAUGCUUGUUUUGCCUUCCUAUGCUAGUUGAUUAUUGUUCCCAUAAGUUGUUUGCUCACAAAAUCCCUAUGCAUAGGAAGUGGGUUAUACUUAAAUGUGCUAGUCACAUUCUUUAUGAUGCUCUCUUUAUGUUUCAAUUCUUAUCUUUUAUGUGAGCAUCAUUGAAAUCAUCAUGCCUAGCUAGGGGCGUUAAACGUCAGCGCUUGUUGGGAGGCAACCCAAUUUUAUUUUAGUUUCUUGCUUUUUGGUUCUGUUUAGUAAUAAAUAUUUGAUCUAGCCUCUGGUUAGAUGUAUUUUUAUGUUUUAAUUAGUGUUUGUGCCAAGUAAGACCUAUAGGAUCUUCUUGGAUGAUAGUUAUUUGAUCUUGCUGAAAUUUCCAGAAACUUUCUGUUCACGAAAACAAUUGUUAAAAAUCACCAGAACCUGAUAAAAUACUUAUUCCAAUUGCAGCAGAUCAAUAAUCAAAUUAUCUAGGUAUUCCUAUUUUGGUAGAAUUUUUUGAGUUCCAGAAGUUUGCGUUAGUUACAGAUUACUACAGACUGUUCUGUUUUUGACAGAUUCUGUUUUUCGUGUGUUGUUUGCUUAUUUUGAUGAAUCUAUGGCUAGUAAAAUAGUUUAUAAACCAUAGAGAAGUUUUAAUACAGUAUAUUUAACACCAAUACAAAUAAAGAAUGAUUUCAUUACAGUACCUUUAAGUGGUGUUUUGUUUUCUUUCGCUAACGGAGCUCACGAGUUUUCUGUUAAGUUUUGUGUUGUGAAGUUUUCAAGUUUUGGGUAAAGAUUCGAUGGACUAUGGAAUAAGGAGUGGCAAGAUCCUAAGCUUGGGGAUGCCCAAGGUACCCCAAGGUAAUAUUAAAGGACAACCAAGAGCCUAAGCUUGGGGAUGCCCCGGAUGGCAUCCCCUCUUUCGUCUUCGUUCAUCGGUAACUUUACUUGGAGCUAUAUUUUUAUUCACCACAUGAUAUGUGUUUUGCUUGGAGCGUCAUUUUAUUUUCUUUAGAUUUGCUUGCUGUUUGAAUAAAAUACCAAGGUCUGAAAUUCUUAAAUGAGAGAGAGUCUUCACAUAGCUACAUAAUUAUUUAACUACUCAUAUAUCUUCACUUAUAUCUUUUUGGAGUAGUUUGUCAUUUACUCGUGUGCUUCACUUAUAUCCUAUGAGUAAAUGGUUGAAUGAUUUGAAUGUCAUAAAUCUGAAUUUAUAUAUGUUUCAUAUGCUUAUCCCAUGGGGAGUAAUGACUUUACAUAUAAGAAGUAGAGGUGGUAAAUUUAUUGAAGGUUAGCAAACGUUGUAUUGGUUACUUGAACAAUUCAUGAAAGAAUAUUGAAGGAAGAGAGAUUUCACAUAUAAAUAUACUAUCUUGGACAUCUUCUAUGAUUGUGAGCCCCAUUAAUUAUUUUCAAACCUGAGCAAAUUAGUUGAAGUUGGACAAGGAAGACAACAUAAUGAGUUAUGCUUGGGUAUAUUUGUAUAGAAGUUAUAUUGUUAUGGAUCCUCUAACAUGUGGUGCUUGCUAUUUAGAAUCCUUUGCUAGCCAAAAUAUCUGUACUAAGCGGGAAUACUGCUUGUGCAUCCAAAUUCCUUGAACCAAUUUCUUCCAUGAGUGUCCAUCAUAUCUACCUAUAUGCGGUAUUUACCUUCCGUUCCAAGUAAAUUUGCAUGUGCCAAACUCUAAACCUUCAAAUAAUAAUCUGUUUUGUAUGCCCGAAUCGCUCAUGUAGCAACUAAGGGCUAGCAGUAUCUUCCAUGCUAGGUGGGUUAUUCUCACUAUGAGUGGACUCCGCUCAUCAUUCAAGAGAAAAUGGCUGGUAACUGGGAUGCCCAGUCCUAUGAUCAAAAGAUCAAAAACAAAUUCGCAAAUAAUUUAAACAAAACUCCCCCAGGAAUGUUGAUAGUUGGACGGCACCCGUUGUUUCGGACAAGCCGUGGAGUGUGAAUGUUGGUGGAGGGGAGUAAAAACUUUACCUUUAUGCAUGGGAACCGCCUAUAAUGUAUCUAGUAUGGAAGAUAUUGGGAACUCUUGGUCGUUAUGUUGACAAUGAAAGCAUACCUCUCAAAAUUAUUUUCAUCUCUGUUUUUUGCUUCGAGCUCUGGCACCUCUGCAAAUCCCUGCUCCCCUCUGCGAAGGGCCUAUCUUUUACCUUUAUGCAAGAGUCAGUAGUGUUCCUUCUCAUUCCAACCUACUCUUUAGUUGGCAAGCAUCAUGUGAUGGAAAGAUCUAAGCAUAUAUGGCCAUUCAAAUAUAUUUGAUCAUGAAUUAUUAUUGUUGACAAUUAUCUAUAUGAUAAAUAAGUUGGGAGGCGAAACAUUAAGCCCCUAUCUUUCUCUGUGUUCGAUGGAUGCUAUUUGUUCUAAAAAUAUGCUUUGAGUGGUAGCAAUCAUGGAAGACUAUAUGAUAGUUGAGUAUGUGGGAUUUGCUAAAUCAAAGCUCUGACAUAGACUCUUCCUGAAAAUAAGAUGAAUUGUAAUUGUUUGAUGACUAAUAACACGGUUUGUUAGUUUUCACGAAAGUUUAUGAUCUAUACUUUAACAUGUGAAUAGCUUGUUACCUGAUCAUGAAAAGUUCUAUGAGUUGAGCUACUGUUAUGACAUAUAAUGAUGCUAGAAAAGGUGAUUGAAAUUAUCAUUGAUCAAACUUAUGCAGCUGCUAGCAUUCACACUUCAUAAAUUCUUUCUUUUAUCAUUUACCUACUCGAGGACGAGCAGGAAUUAAGCUUGGGGAUGCCGAUACGUCUCCAACGUAUCUAUAAUUUAUGAAGUAUUCAUGUUAUUAUAUUAUCCAUCUUGGAUGUUUAAUGGGCUUUACUAUGCACUUUUACAUUACUUUUGGGACUAACCUAUUAACCCAGAGCCCAGUGACAGUUUCUGUUUUUCUCCUUGUUUCAGUGUUUCGCAGAAAAGGAAUAUCAAACGGAGUCCAAACGGAAUGAAACCUUCGGGAGAGUUAUUUUUGGAACGGAAGCAAUCCAGAAGACUUGGAGUAUACGUAAGGGAAGCAACAAGGAAGGCACGAGGCAGGGGGCGCGCCCACACCCCCGGGAGCUCCCCUUACCGACUUCUUUCUCCUAUAUAUAUACCAAUAUACCCUAAAACCAUCGGGGAACAGAAUAGAUCAGGAGUUCCGCCGCCGCAAGCCUCUGUAGCCACCUUAAACCAAUCGGGACCAUGUUCCGGCACCCUGUCGGAGGGAGGAUCCCUCACCGGUGGCCAUCCUCAUCAUCCCGGCGCUCUCCAUGACGAGGAGGGAGUAGUUCACCCUUGGGGCUGAGGGUAUGUACCAGUAGCUAUGUGUUUGAUCUCUCUCUCUCUCUCGUGUUCUUGAGGUGGUACGAUCUUGAUGUAUCGCGAGCUUUGCUAUUAUAGUUGGAUCUUAUGAUGUUUCUCCCCCUCUACUCUCUUGUAAUGGAUUGAGUUUUCCCGUUGAAGUUAUCUUAUCGGAUUGAGUCUUUAAGGAUUUGAGAACACUUGAUGUAUGUCUUGCAUGUGCUUAUCUGUGGUGACAAUGGGAUAUCACGUGAUCUACUUGAUGUAUGUUUUGGUGAUCAACUUGCGGGUUCAGUGACCUUCUGAACUUAUGCAUAGGGGUUGGCACACGUUUUCGUCUUGACUCUCCGGUAGAAACUUUGGGGCACUCUUUGAAGUUCUUUGUGUUGGUUGAAUAGAUGAAUCUGAGAUUGUGUGAUGCAUAUCGUAUAAUCAUACCCACGGAUACUUGAGGUGACAUUGGAGUAUCUAGGUGACAUUAGGGUUUUGGUUGAUAUGUGUCUUAAGGUGUUAUUCUAUUACGAACUCUUUAAUAGAUCGAUCCAAAAGAAUAACUUUGAGGUGGUUUUGUACCCUACCAUAAUCUCUUCGUUUGUUCUCCGCUUAGUGGCUUUGGAGUGACUCUCUGUUGCAUGUUGAGGGAUAGUUAUAUGAUCCAAUUAUGUUAUUAUUGUUGAGAGAACUUGCACUAGUGAAAGUACGAACCCUAGGCCUUGUUUCCUAGCAUUGCAAUACCGUUUGUGCUCACUUUUAUCAUUAGUUACCUUGCUGUUUUUAUAUUUUCAGAUUACAAAAACCUAUAUCUAUCAUCCAUAUUGCACUUGUAUCACCAUCUCUUCGCCGAACUAGUGCACCUAUACAAUUUACCAUUGUAUUGGGUGUGUUGGGGACACAAGAGACUCUUUGUUAUUUGGUUGCUGGGUUGUUUGAGAGAGACCAUCUUCAUCCUACACCUCCCACAGAUUGAUAAACCUUAGGUCAUCCACUUGAGGGAAAUUUGCUACUGUCCUCUACACUUGGAGGCCCAACAACGUCUACAAGAAGAAGGUUGCGUAGUAGACAUCAAGCUCUUUUCUGGCGCCGUUGCUGGGGAGGUGAGUGCUUGAAGGUAUAUCUUUAGAUCUUGCAAUCGAAUCUUUUAGUUUCUUGUUUUAUCACUAGUUUAGUUUAUAAAAGAAAACUACAAAAAAAUGGAAUUGAGUUUGUCUCAUACGCUUCAUCUUUUUAAUAUCUUUCGUGAGAAUGAUGGAAAGGAAAAUUGUGCUCAAGUGCUAGGAGAAGAAAUCUAUAAAAUGUUUGGCAGUUGAUCUUUGAAUGAUGAGCAUGAUUGCAAUGUUGUUAGUAUGAACUCUUUGAAUAUCCAUAGUACUAAUGAUGAUUGCACUAGUCAUGAUGAAAAUGCCUCUUAUAAGCAUGUCAGAUUUUGUGGAGUGCAUAGAAUUUGCAAGUACACACCAAAUAGGGAAGAUAGAUUUUGCAAAAGGCAUAAGUAUUUAGAAACUAAAUGGUUGCAAGAGAGGCUAAAUGUUAGUGCUGAAAAUUUAAAAUAUCUUAGCCAUACUUGUGAACUUUGCAAUGAAUAUGGUCAUUUAAAUAUCAAAUGCAAAUUGUUUCAUGAUCGAAUCGUGUCUAAAAAUUGUGAUGACUUGAUUUCCCUUGCACAUCAUAAUGAACUUAGUCUACUUUUGGGUUAUGAAGAAUUGAAACAUCAAACUAAGUUUAUUCCAGAAUAUAACCUCGAGAAAUUCCUCGAUAUUGAUCUAGAAGAAAUUUAUAUGUAUUGUGCGGUGAAUUGCAUUGAAAAUC